rnacentral:tRNA from 1 species
UCCCUGGUGGUCCAGUGAUUAAGACUCUGAGCUCCCAAAGCAGGGAGCACAGGUUCAGUCCCUGUUCAGGGGA